rnacentral:rRNA from 1 species
CCUACGGGAGGCAGCAGUGAGGAAUAUUGGUCAAUGGACGAGAGUCUGAACCAGCCAAGUAGCGUGAAGGAUGACUGCACUAUGGGUUGUAAACUUCUUUUAUAAGGGAAUAAAACGUUCCACGAGUGGGAUUUUGUAUGUACCAUAUGAAUAAGCAUCGGCUAACUCCGUGCCAGCAGCCGCGGUAAUACGGAGGAUCCGAGCGUUAUCCGGAUUUAUUGGGUUUAAAGGGAGCGUAGGUGGCUUGUUAAGUCAGUUGUGAAAGUUUGCGGCUCAACCGUAACACUGCAGUUGAAACUGGCAGUCUUGAGUAGAGUAGAGGUAGGCGGAAUGCGUGGUGUAGCGGUGAAAUGCUUAGAUAUCGCGAAGAACUCCGAUUGCGAAGGCAGUUCACUGGACUGCAACUGACACUGAGGCUCGAAAGUGUGGGUAUCAAACAGGAUUAGAUACCCUUGUAGUC